CUCGCAGUAGCUGUGGUAUAAAAGGAGCGCGGUGUUCAGUGUGAGGUAGCAGUCGAUUCACGUAGCAGACCACAAAGAGGAACAUGAUGAAACUGGUGGCCCUCGUUUUCCUGGUGGUGAUGAUCGCCAUUGCAUCCGCCCAGUACGGCAUCUCAAUUGGCGCCCCUGGGUUUCACUCGCCCUACGCCUACAGCUCCUCCGCCAGGGUGCAGACCAGUCGCGACGCCCUCAUAACGCCCCUCGUCUACUACUAACACAGACGCCAUGAACGUCGCUACCGUUUUGCUCUGUUACGAAAUGUCGCUCUGUUGUAAGUUGUUGUAAAUAGUUUGCUUUGUGUCCAAUAAACGGCACUGUAGCUCUUGACCAAAACAA